AACGAACGCUGGCGGCAUGCCUAACACAUGCAAGUCGAACGAGACCUUCGGGUCUAGUGGCGCACGGGUGCGUAACGCGUGGGGACCUGCCCUUGGGUUCGGAAUAACUCCCCGAAAGGGGUGCUAAUACCGGAUAAUGUCUUCCGACCAAAGAUUUAUCGCCUUUGGAUGGGCCCGGGUUGGAUUAGCUAGUUGGUAGGGUAAAAGCCUACCAAGGCGACGUUGCAUAGCUGGUCUGAGAGGAUGCUCCGCCACACUGGGACUGAGACACGGCCCAGACUCCUACGCGAGGCAGCAGUGGGGAAUAUUGGACACUGGGCGAUAGCCUGAUCCAGCAAUGCCGCGUGAGUGAUGAAGGCCUUAGGGUUGUAAAGCUCUUUUACCCGGGAUGAUAAUGACAGUACCGGGAGAAUAAGCACCGGCUAACUCCGUG
rnacentral:rRNA from 1 species